rnacentral:misc_RNA from 1 species
GAAAAUUCCAAAUAGAAUCAAAGAAGUAAAUCUAAAAACUGAGAAAUAGACUAAUAAUACAGUAACUAACUUUAAUUUGAUGAAAUUCUUUUUCAAACUUCCAUCAACACGUUGAAGGCAAACCAUAAACUGAAAACGGCGGCAAGUGAUGCUCCGGCAUUGUACUUAACAGCACCGCUAUCUGUCAAAUCAUCAGCAUCACCGUUGGGACCAUCCGCCGGAGAAUCCGCUGGAGACUCAGCCGGAGAUGCAGGUGCCGGUGGUGACUUGGAGUGCUUAGGAGAUUCAGCACGUGCCUCCGGUGCCGGCGCCGGCGCCGGAGUAGGACUAGCCUUGAACAAUUCCUCGGGUAAUAACACCUUAUCAAGCGAGUAAAUCGCUAAUGGCAGUUUAUCAACCACAGUAGCCGUGAUCUUCGCCGUCACAAUUUUCGUUUUUAUAGUAACAUCUUCACCGUCAUUUUGAAUGACUACAGCGUACUUCUUAGCUCCGUCAGUAGCUAAAGUGUUCAUAUCUCCAUUAUUCGAUUUCAAAUUCGAAAUCGAUUGGUAUAUAGGAAUUCCAUGAUAUUCGAGCAGUGAUUGCUUCCCUUCCGCUGUUAAAUUCUUAAAUUUAGGCAAAAAUUUCUUCAUUGCAUCAUCUCGUGGACAAAAUAUUGUUACUCCGCCAUCAACGUUAUCCUCAAACGUUUUUUCAGCCGGAGAAGCUAAUAGAGUCUCGGCGAAAACUUUGCAGCCUUUAGCUGACAUUAGAGAAGUGAGAUUCAUUUGGCUUGGUCCUGGAGUCGGAGCUUCAGCUUCGUCUGAGGGUAAAAUCGUACUUAUUUGAAUAACGGAGAUGUUGUAAGGAAUCUCGGCGAUUGAUUUUACAAAUUUAGCCGGAGGAGGACCGUUGUAAUCAGCCGGACUGAGCCCGACUUUACCUCCUCUUAGAUCAGUAAUGUUUACGAAUCCAGAAGAUCCGGUAGCUGAGCCGGUAGCUUGAAACAUUGUGGCGGCAAGUGCCGUGCCGUUAGUAAUCUGGUGAAGCUUUUUAGCGUCGAAGUAAUCGAGAAGCACGUGAAAAGAGAGAACGUUUUUUAUAGUGUAGAUAGAUAGUUGUUUGGAGAGUAGAUCUGACAUUCCGGCAUUAUCUACAGCACAAACAGUGAUGGUUUGCCGGCGGUUAAUUUCAGCGGCGAGGUGUGUAGUUGUUAAGUAAUGGUUGAAAGUGGAGAACUGUUUAUGGUCGGCUAGAAUGUGAGUAAUGUUAUGAGCUUCAGUGGCACAAAUAAAAAGGACUACGGAGAGAACCACCGCAGCCACGGUGGCCGACGACGGAAGCUGCAUGUCGGUGUUGUAAGAGAAAGAAGAACUCCGGUGACUGUGUG